rnacentral:rRNA from 1 species
CCCCUACGGGAGGCAGCAGUGGGGAAUAUUGGGCAAUGGGCGCAAGCCUGACCCAGCAACGCCGCGUGAAGGAAGAAGGCUUUCGGGUUGUAAACUUCUUUUAUUGAGGACGAAACAAAUGACGGUACUCAAUGAAUAAGCCACGGCUAACUACGUGCCAGCAGCCGCGGUAAUACGUAGGUGGCAAGCGUUAUCCGGAUUUACUGGGUGUAAAGGGCGUGUAAGCGGGGACGCAAGUCAGAUGUGAAAACCACGGGCUCAACCUGUGGCCUGCAUUUGAAACUGUGUUUCUUGAGUACUGGAGG